UGUUCAAUGGGGUGAUCUGUGCAAUGGAGUGAUGUGUACAAUGGGACAAUCUGUGCAAUGGGACGAUCGGUACAAUGAGGUGAUCUGUACAAUGGGGUGAUCUGUGCAAUGAGGUGAUCUGUACAACGAGGUGAUCUGUACAAUGGGGUGGUCUGUACAAUGGCUGAUGUGUACAAUGAAGUGACGUGUACAAUGUGGCUCAAGCCGUCUGUGUAAUUAUCUUAAACUUUUUCAUUUCGGAAAUGAAACAGCUCCUCCCUUCACCGCCACCUUGGCUAUUUCUGGGACCAAAGGAAUCCUUGAAGCUGACCGGGCAGGAGAGUCCACGCUGGGAGUAAAAUCACUACAAACUGUCCAUCAGAAGGCCCCUGCUGAGUAGUUGGCAGGGUGGCUGCACAUAAUGGAAAGCACAUAAGCUUGAAGCCAGACAGAUGGGAGUUCUAACCCCAGCCCUGCCACUUAUUCCCAGGUGACACUGAGUGGAAAUUAGGCCAAAAUAAAUACUACUUUCUGCUUAAAAAAAUGCAGUGAUGUCCAAAGAGAAGGGAGGAGGAAGGAUGAAAGGAAAGACAGAGGAGGAAGGAAGAGAAGAAAGAAGAGUGGCCGGCACAAGGGCUUGGAGAUCCCUGAAGCUGUUUUCCUUUCUCCUCACCCCCACAGGGAGGGAUCCACAUCGUUGUGGGGUUUUUGUUGUUGUUGUUUUUGUUUUUGUUUUUUUGCCUCCCUUCAUCAAAGCAUUCAUUGUAGUGUAUGGUAAUUGUCUCUGAAUGUAACAGCCUCUCUUCCCUGAGGCCUGGGUCUGCUUGUUUCAUACCAUCUUCUCCUUAACACACAGUGCUUGGUAAACAAUACCUAUUAAUAAACAUUUGUUGAAUGAA